rnacentral:rRNA from 1 species
AAAUUGAAGAGUUUGAUCAUGGCUCAGAUUGAACGCUGGCGGCAGGCCUAACACAUGCAAGUCGAACGGUAACAGGAAGCAGCUUGCUGCUUUGCUGACGAGUGGCGGACGGGUGAGUAAUGUCUGGGAAACUGCCUGAUGGAGGGGGAUAACUACUGGAAACGGUGGCUAAUACCGCAUAACGUCGCAAGACCAAAGAGGGGGACCUUCGGGCCUCUUGCCAUCAGAUGUGCCCAGAUGGGAUUAGCUUGUUGGUGAGGUAACGGCUCACCAAGGCGACGAUCCCUAGCUGGUCUGAGAGGAUGACCAGCCACACUGGAACUGAGACACGGUCCAGACUCCUACGGGAGGCAGCAGUGGGGAAUAUUGCACAAUGGGCGCAAGCCUGAUGCAGCCAUGCCGCGUGUAUGAAGAAGGCCUUCGGGUUGUAAAGUACUUUCAGCGGGGAGGAAGGUGUUGUGGUUAAUAACCGCAGCAAUUGACGUUACCCGCAGAAGAAGCACCGGCUAACUCCGUGCCAGCAGCCGCGGUAAUACGGAGGGUGCAAGCGUUAAUCGGAAUUACUGGGCGUAAAGCGCACGCAGGCGGUCUGUCAAGUCGGAUGUGAAAUCCCCGGGCUCAACCUGGGAACUGCAUUCGAAACUGGCAGGCUUGAGUCUUGUAGAGGGGGGUAGAAUUCCAGGUGUAGCGGUGAAAUGCGUAGAGAUCUGGAGGAAUACCGGUGGCGAAGGCGGCCCCCUGGAC